rnacentral:rRNA from 1 species
GUCGAGCGGACCGACGGGAGCUUGCUCCCUUAGGUCAGCGGCGGACGGGUGAGUAACACGUGGGUAACCUGCCUGUAAGACUGGGAUAACUCCGGGAAACCGGGGCUAAUACCGGAUGCUUGAUUGAACCGCAUGGUUCAAUCAUAAAAGGGGGCUUUUAGCUACCACUUACAGAUGGACCCGCGGCGCAUUAACUAGUUGGGGAGGUAACGGCUCACCAAGGGGACGAUGCGUAGCCCACCUGAGAGGGUGAUCGGCCACACUGGGACUGAAACACGGCCCAGACUCCUACGGGAGGCAGCAG